rnacentral:sRNA from 1 species
UCUGCAACCGCACAGAUGAGGUUGAGAAGUCUGCUUUGGCAGCACCUCUAAUGGCGAGUCUAAGUAUUU